UUGCCUCCCAGCAAGCGCUUCUUUUUAAUGUCACUAGCUUGACCCAGUCUCCAUCAUCAUAGCAUCCAUCAGUAGAUGUUAUUAGUAACAUCCAUCAGUAGAUGUCUAAUUACAUAGCAUCCAUCAGUAGAUGCUAAUUUUUCUUAUCUUCAUUGGUAUCCUUCAGUAGACACCAAUCUUUCUCAUCUUCAUUGGCAUCCAUCAGUAGAUGCCUAAUCACCUAACAUCCAUUAGUAGAUGCCUAGUCACCAUCCUCUUCCAUAGCCGCAUCCAUCAGUAGAUGCUCUCUCAAAUACUUCCAGCAUCCAUCAUCAGAUGUGAAUCUUUCUCAUCAACAUCCUUAGUAGAUGUUAAUCUUUCUCUUCUUCAUCGGUAUCCAUCAGUAGACGCUAUCAGUACUGCCAUCAGAAGUAGCGUAUAACCUAAAAAACUCAAACACACAAAAACAAAAUCAAAUCCGAACCACACAAACAAUAAAAUAAACAAAAAAUAAAAUAAAAUAAAAUAAAAUCAAAUCAAAUAAAACAAAAUAAAAUAAAAUAAAAUCAAAUCAAAUCAAAUCAAAUAAAAUCGAAUCAAAUCAAAUCAAAUCAAACAAAAUAAAAUAAAUAAAAUAAAAUAAAAUAAAAUAAAACAAAAUAAAAGAAAAGAAAUUCAGAAACUGGGUUGCCUCCUAGCUAGCGCUUCUUUAACGUCACUAGGUUGACCCAAAAAGCUUGAUCAGUAGCUUCUUUCAGUAGACGCUUGAUCAUAUGUAGCUGCCCGGUGUCUCAAUUGUUUCCUUUUUCUGGAGAUUUUUUUUUUGUUGAAUUUCUUCAGGAAUUUGAUAUAACCAGGAACUUGAUGUAACAUCCCGAUUUUUUUUUCUUUUUUUGUAUGACCCGAUUACGAGUACAAAGAAUUAAAAUUUUUAAAAUCAUAAAUCAUUGCGGAAAUCCACUUAUAUUACAUUGUUUCUAAAAUUUAUAGUACAGAAGUUUUAAUUAACCCAAGUCGUCUACCCAUUCUCGCGUCACUGUCAUACAUUUGAAGCAUCUGUAACCUCCCCUGCUCCCGUAUAACCAAAGGUCAUACGAUCAUUGCAAAACACGCACACAACCACAACAGAAACAAAUAUGGGUAAGCUACCAUAGCACAAUCAAUAACAAUAAAAUCUGUACAUAGAAAACAAGCACACCCUACUAACAAAUUAGUCGUCUACAACGAUAUCCUUAUUUAGAAAUCAAUUUUACACCCUUACCAUAAUCAGUAUCCUUAUUAACUCUAUCACAACUAUAGUAUCAAUUUAUCCUAUCAACCACAUCUCCAA
rnacentral:lncRNA from 1 species